rfam:Ictidomys tridecemlineatus contig108098, whole genome shotgun sequence.
GGGGUUGUGGCUCAGUGGUAGAGCGCUAACCUAGUACACGAGAGGCACUGAGUUCAAUCCUCAGCACCA